CAUAAGGGCCAUGAGGACUUGACGUCAUCCCCACCUUCCUCCGGUUUGUCACCGGCAGUCUCACUAGAGUGCCCUUUCGUAGCAACAAGUGACAAGGGUUGCGCUCGUUGCGGGACUUAACCCAACAUCUCACGACACGAGCUGACGACAGCCAUGCAGCACCUGUGUUCAGGCUCCCUUGCGGGCACGCUCUCAUUACAAGAGCUUCCUGACAUGUCAAG
rnacentral:rRNA from 1 species